GUGCUCGCUUCGGCAGCACAUAUAUUAAAAUUGGAACGAUACAGAGAAGAUUAGCACGGCCCCUGUGCAAGGAUGUUACGUAGGUUUGUGAAACAUUCCAUAUUUAA